GUGCUUGCUUCGGCAGCACACAUACUAAAAUUGGAACAAUACAGAGAUUAACAUGGCCCCUGCAUGAGGAUGACACGCAAAUUCGUGAAGCAUUCCAUAUGUGU
rnacentral:snRNA from 1 species